rnacentral:rRNA from 1 species
UACGUAGGGGGCAAGCGUUGUCCGGAUUUAUUGGGCGUAAAGAGCGUGUAGGCGGUUGGUAAGUCCGUUGUGAAAACUCGAGGCUCAACCUCGAGACGCCGAUGGAAACCAUCAGACUAGAGUCCGGAAGAGGAGAGUGGAAUUCCUGGUGUAGCGGUGGAAUGCGCAGAUAUCAGGAGGAACACCGAUGGCGAAGGCAGGUCUCUGGGCCAUUACUGACACUGAGAAGCGAAAGCAUGGGGAGCGAACAGG